rnacentral:pre_miRNA from 1 species
CUUGUACUCCCUCCGUUCGAAAAUACUUGUCAUUGAAAUGGAUGUAUCUAGAUGUAUUUUAGUUCUAGACACAUCCAUUUUGAUGACAAGUAAUUCCAGACAGAGGGAGUACAUG